AGAGACCAAUGAAAUGAGACCAAGAAGCUUUAUUACACAAAAGUUCUUUGAAGACCUUUUGCUUCUGCUUCCCUGCUUACUAUUGCUAUCACCUCAACUGCUUUGACCUGCUCACUUAGAGUGAAGAUCAAUAAUGGGCGGAAAGGAGUUCACACAAGACCACAGAGCGAGAGAGAGAGCCUUCGCUUACCUGUUUAACCGUGCCCUCCUAUCACACCUAUCUCCCUUUUCCUUCAGUCACAUCCAGUCUCAGUUCUGCUUCCAACUACCGAGCUUGGACGUAUAGCAAGAUUGAAUAAGAGAUAUGGCAUACGGGAAUAGUAUAUGAAAUCACAAAGGCUGGAAAGAGACUGGAGAGGAGCGUGGAAAAUACUUAAUAAAGCACCUUAGCAAUUACUAGUAAUGCCCCUAUCGACCUCAGUCUUGUUUUNAAGAGACUAGAGAGGAGCGUGGAAAGUACUUAAUAAAGCACCUUAGCAAUUACUAGUAAUGCCCAUAUCGACCUCACUCUUGUUUUUUUGCUAGCUUUAGUCUAGAACUAGACUAUCUCAUUAAACGUCGAAUAUCCCUAUGAUGCUAGCCAGUGAAAAAGGAAGGAGUCUACUUCUUUGCUGGCUUGAUUCCAGAACUAGUAGAGGAAGGAAGCGAUGAUCGGUCUAUCCCAUUAAGCGUAAUCCCGCUAGCCAAUGAAAGGACUACUCUUCUUGGACUGUGAGCGACGACACCAGAUCAGAGCUAAGUGAGAGACGAUAAAUGCGAUUAAACUGCUUUAUAACUGCUCGAUUUAUAAGUCUUGCCUAAGUCCUAGACUUGAAUGAAGCAGCCUGGCUGAAAGUCGUAUUUGCUUUUGCUUUUCUUGUUCUCUUUUCUUAGUUAGGCCCAAGAAAGUACAAGAUAUAGCUUGACUAAUAUACUAAGAUGAUAGCUAGAGACUAGAGAUGAGAGUGCAGGAUCUAGAUUUGUAACAAAUAUUCGACUUUGCUUAUGCAAAUUGUUAUGUACCAAAACCAAAGAAUAUCGUCGAUGGGAUACAAAAAAAGAGGAUCCUACUUCGCUCAUGCACCGUCUUUUCACCCUCCUACCGCUGGUAAAGCUAGCAGUCUAAUAAAAUUUCUGCAUGUUAAGACAGCACACUAGUACAUUUUCAUUGACCACUGAGACCAACCCCCAAGCCCGGUCUUUGAACUAAUAAAGACGGCAUAGUAGAAAACUUCAAACUGACUAUCAUCGCGCUUGAAGUCCACCCAAGAGAGUUCCCCGACUUCUCAUGAUGAGCGCAGCGCAUCAAAUGGUGUUUGCGCCAGAGGAGGGUGGUGAGAACCAUUGAGCCAUUGGCUUUCUAAGCUUUUCUGAUUUGGGUUUCUCGCCCGCAUCACCGAGAGGAGGGCUUUUUC
rnacentral:lncRNA from 1 species